rnacentral:piRNA from 1 species
UAUCAUUGAUUUAUUGGUGCUUUAGAUUA